GUAAUUAUUUUUUUUUCAUCUGUCCAACGGAAACAUAUAACAAACUGCCGCGAAUCAGAUCGAAAAACUCGCGAACAAUAAAAAUGUCAAUAAUAUGUGGUAAAAUAACGCUCUGAAUGUUGAUUCGUGAGAGAUCGCUGCUGGCUAGUAUAAUAUUAUUUUCUAAUAAUUAUACGAGUAUGUUACCCAUAGUUUCAAUAAUAACAACGGUCGACUGCUCUGUCAAUUGUUUCGUUGCGUGGAGGUAACAUCGUUAUAAUUCACUCAGCAAAUAAAAAUCGAAAAUGGGUAACACUAUAAUGAGGCAAACGGUUUUCCGAAAAUCUUGGUGGACUAACGGUUGCGGCGGAGAUGUCCCCGCUUUAUCGAGUACCGUCGAAGUCCAGACUGACCCGCCGCCGCUAGAAGAACGGCGCGAGCAUCGUGCCUUUGUGAAGGAGCUGAAUUCUAGCGGCGGCGGCGAUGGCUUGGGAUCGGUCGAGGACUACGAACUAGACAACGCGGCCGGCCACCAGCUAGUUGGACGCUUUUUAACCAAAUGGUACAACGAGCCACACGACGUCUGGCGUUUUUACGCUAAGAACGCGCUCUGUACUUUAGACAUGGAUGGGAAGCGGUACGUUGCAACGGGAAUAUCCGAAAUCCGGAAACUGUUUGAUGAGGUGGCGGCACCGGAGACCGGCACUAUCGAGGACGACGACGGUGAUUGUCGAUCGCUGUUCGUCCAGUCGAUAGUGACGGUCCGGUGUCCGUCUGGCCAGCUGCUUAUCGUGGCAUCAACCGAGUGGUUUACACAAACUUUCAUCGUCGAAUAUACCACGCCCGACCCGGCGGUGGCCGGAGUCGCUUCCAUGGCCGUAGUCACUUCCGUGAUGACAGUAAAACGAGUUGGAGUCUAUCCGCAGGAUAUGCCAAGGACGCCAUCGAUCCGCAGGCGCCGCAGACGCCGCGGCCGUCGAGGCAAAAACGCUGAGUCGCAGGGCGCAAACGCAGACGCCACAGUAGCCUCCACCGCCACCGGGGGAGUGGAGACGACCGGAGGCGUGAUCUGACGUAGGUCAUCAUCAACUCGAUUUACAUUUCAAUAGUUUUCUUUUCAACUAACAUUUUUGAGUUUUAUUCAACCCGAAAGUACGUUUUUUUUCAAUACUCAAUCAAUUAAUUUGUGUACACAUGAACAAGCAGGUUGUCUGUAUUAAUUUUUCAUUUUUUAUGCAUUUAUGCUGAUGCGGUUUUGAUGGGUUUGAGACGUUUAGUCGUUUAGUGCUAUUUACUUUUCAGUUAUAACUUGGUAUAACUAAAAAUAAAAUGGUAUAAUUCAGGUAUGACAAGAUACAAAUAUAAUAACAUCGAAGAAAAUCUCACUGGUUCACAAAAUGAGUCGUGAGAAUAAUUGAAAAAUUACGUACUUGAUAUUUGUCUUUGCCAGAAAAUAAAAAACUGUUUAUAACUUUUCAGUUAACUCAAAAUCUACAUUAUGUUUAUAAUUAUUAAUAAAGACUACAAAUUUAAUACGA